UUUUUAGCAUAAAACGGAAUCGCAUCUUCACGGGCAUUACACACUAAACGCUUGGCGCCUUCUUGGCGCGCUAAGGACUCCAAAGCGACCAAAA
rnacentral:sRNA from 1 species